ACCAUCAUUGCGUAUCUGUCUUCCUGUUCCUGUGUGCAUGCAUUAUUAUUGUUGUUUAAAGGAAAUCCAUCCCCCGAAGCAACCCAGAACCAUCCUUGUCUCCUCUUCAGCUUAUAAAUAAUAUCGAAUCACAUGCACUCCAUUUAUCUCACUCCCUCCAAAAGGUCCUAAAAAUCUAAAGACACUGUAAAUGCUGCAACUAUAGAUAACCAGUUUGUGCUCCAACGCCUUCAACUCCAUCAAAGAAUAUCCGUCCUCCCUUCUCUUCAGACAAGACUCAAAGAAGUACUCUAGAGCUCGCCUCUCGCAAACUGCGAGGAUGAGGAGGUUGCGGAGGAGAAGAGGAAGUAGGAAGGAAGACGAGGAAGUGCGACGUAAGAUGGAAGCAAAGAUGGAGAUGGUGAACCUAAAGCUUUACUUGGAGAACCGAUGCAUCAUGGAGGAGAACGAGAGGCUGAGGAAGAAAGCUCUCCUCCUCCGCCAAGAGAACCAGGCUUUGCUCUCCCACCUCCGCAUCACCAAUUUCACCACCACCACCACCACUACCACCACCCUUCCCAACGAUUAAAUGAUGCUCUUCUCUUCCAACUUUUGAUUUAUGGAUGUAUGUGAUCCUUCUUGUUUGCUGUUCUCUUUGAUAGUAUGCAUGUAUAAUAAGCUUUUUUAAUUAUUAGGAGUCAGUUUGAGAGUUUGACAUGCUUUGUUUACUCCAGAUUUUAUUACCGAAAAGCAUAUAAACUGUCAGUUUGGCA